rnacentral:sRNA from 1 species
GUCGCGGCAAAUUCCGCGACCGGGUUUGGCGACCCGGAUAAACUUGGCGCAGCAGCGCCCCACACGAUUGCAGGCGCUUUUUUU